UUCAGUUUCGGCUCCCGCCAGAGAAUUCUGCUGUUAAGUCCUUGGGCAAGACACUUAACCAACCUGCCUGUUGGUGGUGGUUGGAGGGACCGGUGCUGCCUGUGUUCAGCGGUCUGGCUUCUGUCGGUGCGCCCCAGUGCAGCUGUGGCUACAGUGUAGCUCAUCAUCACCAGUGUGUGAAUGGGUGAAAGACUGAUUGUGUUGUGAAGCGCCUUGGGGGGCUGUAGAGCCCUAAGAAGGCACUGUACAACUACAGAGCAUUGAGCACAUACCACCAUCUCUAAAUCUCAUGGCAGAGAAUCAUACCACUAGGCCACUGAGCUCGUUAAGAAUAGAUUGUAUCGUGUGUGUUUGUGUGUGUUUGUGUGUGUGUGUGUGUGUGUGUGUGUGUGUGUGUGUGUGUGUGUGUGUGUGUGUGUGUGUGUGUGUGUGUGUGUGUGUGUGUGUGUGUGUGUGUGUGUGUGUGUGUGUGUGUGUGUGUGUGCUUAGACUCACAGCAGGAAGCAUAUUCAUUACAUCUUAAACCCAGUUGUCACCGACUUUGUUUAAUGAACAUCAGCCUUCAGUCUCCAUAGCAACCUGCUGUUGUAAAUGUGACAUUUAGGUUAGACUGCAAUUCCCCAGUUGUGUGUUUCCACCUGCUCAUUUCCCCUCUCAAUAAACAGUAACAUUAACUCCGGGGAAGCUCAACAGGAAGGGGGACGAUGACACAUCUGGCUGUAAGAAUGGUUGAAAAGGGACGAGCUGCUGCGUCUCUCUCAUCUUUGUGCUUCACCCUCCUGGACAAAACUGACCUUUUAGCUUGUUGUGCUGGUGUGAUCUGAUCGUCUCUUUUGGAAGUGUUAUGAUUGUUUUGAGGAGAAUGGAAAUAGGCAGUAAAGGUGGGACACACUCCUCAAGGUUUUCAGAAACAUCCAGAGUAAAUGUGAUCUUCUUUAAAAAUGAAUGUUUUUGAAUCAGAGAUUUGAUUCAGUUCUUCCUGAAGGCUGGCUGUUAAUGCUGCCAUGGAUGCAGCACUGCUUUUUAUGUGGUCCACACGAAGAACCAUAAAAACUACAGUUUAAAGAAAAAAAAUGAAAUAUUAGCAUCUAAGCGGGCUAGAUCUGUGUACGCUGGUGAAUGAUCCACCUCACCACUGAAAUCGGUGACAUUUGAGCCGUCUUUAGGAGAGCCUAAAUCUUUUCUCCUGCAUCUGCAACGUCUUCUUCUGCAGCACAUCCACGGUUGUCUGCAGGUCCUUGUUCUGAUCUACCCUACCUUGUACCUGGAUGGUCUCUGCCUAGCCCUUACUGGAUUCGACUGCUCCUCUGACCUCUGACCCUGCUCUGAACCACGGCCUCCAAUUAUUGUCUGCUCCUCCUAUUUCAUUCAUGAAUAAGAACGACCUUUUCCAGGACAAGAUGUUACAUCAUGGCCGACACCUGCGGUUAUACCUGUCACCAUUUAAAGGUACGACUGAUGUCAGAGGGUUUGUUCUGGUCUGUAAAUGGGAUUUCUUCCUGCUUCUGUGCACAUUCAAAGAAAAAAACACUUUGUACAAAAUAACAAAGUUUGGUCCCUCUCUGAAGCAUAUUAGGGGAAGUGGGCAGUUUUGGCGUGCUUUUAGCACCACCUAGUGUCCGUCUGUACAACCGAAAGCAAAACCUAUCCCAACACGUUCAUUCUAGCAGCUGCAACAUCUCAGCCUUCAUUAGUGUCUACAGGAGAGUCAAGUAGCUGGUUACUUAAAUAAAAUGUCAGUAGAAAAUAAAGGUAUUUAAUAAAAUUUUGAGCCUUUAAACGUCUUUGUUAUGUUUUUACUGAGUUUGUUUUCUGAUUUAGUUUUCUUUAGCUCUGCAUUUUACUCAGUGUGAUGAGGACUUGUUUUUACCUUUGCCGACAUGUUUCGACAUCACUGCCGUCUUCGUCAGGGUAACCACCGGAUGUCAGUGGUGUCACUUCCUUUGUGAUCCGUGUUAUCCCAGUUUAUGAUCCGUGUUAUUCCAGUCCAUCAUGUGAUUUCUCUUGUAGAGUGGUCAGGACAUAUCACACAAUGAAUGAACGCCGAUGAAACAUGGCCUGGUUGUUUAAGAGUUUUCUAACUGACUCAGAAAGAUGUGGUGUCUGGUGUAUUAAACACAUCGGGAUGUUAGUUGGAUGUAAUUUAAAAAGUUAUCAUAUUAACUCCAACCACUCUGACACCAUUGUUUACUCUACACACCCUGGAUCAUGGAAACUCCGGAGAUCCGGUCUGCAGGUGAAGCCGUCUCUCAGAGCGAGUGAGUGGACUUCUGAUGUAUCUGAAGAUCGUAGACACCCUCAGCGUACGCACGACUGGUCAGAAGAUAAUUCCCAGGUGGCUUCUGGUGGACGGUUUCAUGUCUGAUGAGUGGGUGGUGGACUGAGCAAAUAAUAACUGUUGAUUCAAAAGGACAGUUCAUGUGCUGCUGAAGUUAUUCCACUGAAUAAUCUGGUUUAAUCCCCAUAGGAUGGUCAUUUGGCAUGAGCUGAGAGCUCUGGUGGAACUGGGAAAGUAGGAAGUGAUUCACUCUUAAUGAAAUGGUUGUUUAUAAACAUUGACCAACCAGAUCUGAGAAAUGUGUUGUGGUGUUUACCACGACCCUCAGCCCCUCCCCUUUCUGUGACGCUUAUAAAGCUUUUUUCCCUUCAUAUCUGGAGUAACUCUGUUAGACAUUCAUUUGUUAUUAUACUGAUAUUAUUAUGUGAAUGUAGCUGAUAAUUAAUUAUCAUUAAAUCAUCAAGCAGACUCAUUUAGUGUCUUUAAGAUGGGAACUAAGUUAUGAAAUAAUAAACAUUUGUGUUUAUCAAUUAAUUAAUAAUAAAACCAGGUUAGAUAGAACAUUCAUUGUAGGUAAUUUUAAUUAUAACCAGCUUGUGAAGAACCAUUAAUGAGGCUAAAUAAGAUAAAUUUUAUUACAAAGGGGAAAGUCUCGUCUUCUGCGUGAGACCUUGGAGUUGCAGCAGGAUGUCUGUAGCGGCAGAAGAGAACUCAGACGUUGGAAUAGUUUUGACCAUCUUCUGAAGAGACGAGGUUAGAGUCAGUGUGUUUUCUGCUUUGGAGUCCAGACGGGUAAGAUGUGGAACACUGAUGAAGAACACAAUACUCCAGCUGGACACUUCAGUGUGAUGACCUCUGACCUUACAGUGGACUAAAACUUUGUCAGCCUUUCACAACGUUACAAUCCCCCCCUUUUCAAGGACUUGAGACCACGAAUAUAAGACUUCAACAUCCUUGAACCAGUUAGAACGGUCACAAGGAAGGUGAAACACCUCCUGACAGCAGAUCGUAGAGACCUUGCACGGAGAAUGUGGUGUUACAUGCAAAGGAACCAAACAUGGACGUAAUUUUGCGGGGGGACAGGUGUGACAUGUCCCCCCCACACACACUUUUUCCAAAGUCAAGUUUUGACCCCUCCACUUUUUACCAUCUAAAAACAAAAUUACGCUAUAUUAAAUUGACACUGGUUGAGCUGUAGGACCAAGCAGAAAACAACCGUUUGUGUUGAAGCCUGUUUCCCAU